UCAAGUGAAAGGUUUGUCUCUGAAGGAGGAGUAAGUGAACAUGCUGCCCAAUGCUUUCAACUUGUCCUGCAGAAGUGUGAUGGUCACCCUGGCUCAGCAGAAUUGUGGGAAAUGCUAAGGGAAAAUUCUGAAGCCAAGAUUGCACAGAUGGAUGCACAAAUGUCCAAGGCGUACAAAUCUGCAUUUAGCAUCUACACGAGAGACCUUCGGAUAAAGCAGGAAGCACAUCCACACCCC